GGCAAGCGGAGUCAGGUUGCGGAUACAGGAUUCCCUCCAGGUUCGGAGCUCUCGGCUAGCUCUGGAUGCUCCGAGGAGGACGUGGAUGGCAGCCGAGCUCUUCAAACCCAGUGGAUUUUCAGAUGUCAAGGAGAUCUGUGGUAAUUCAGUGACCACCAGGGGGCAUCAGGAUCUCUGGGUGUCCUGAAUAACCAAGCCUGCACUGAAUAAGGAUGAGGUUACCUCAGAGCAUUGAAUAGAGUUCCCUAUGCAGUAUAUUCUUGUUCUCAAUCCUUAUGCCAUGGAAUUGAUGCUUUUGAACUGUGGUGUUGGAGAAGACUCUUGAGAGUCCCUUGAACUGCAAGGAGAUCCAACCAGUCCAUUCUGAAGGAGAUCAGCCCUGGGAUUUCUUUGGAAGAAAUGAUGCUAAAGCUGAAACUCCAGUACUUUGGCCACCUCAUGCGAAGAGUUGA
ensembl:lncRNA